rnacentral:piRNA from 2 species
GGGUCGUUAGCUCAGUUGGUAGAGCAGUU